rnacentral:rRNA from 1 species
AGGUUAAAGCGAAAACAAAACGAGGACAAUGAAGACACAAAGACGACGGGACAGGUGCUUUCUAAAAACCGCGUUAUUGUUGUUUUUGUAAAACCCUAAUGGACUCCACGAAUCACGACAUCAUGAUUGCCCCUCCGCGUCAAAUGCCAGACAGUGGAAAAGAAUAUAAUUUCGUCAGUGUCUGACUUCUUAUCAAACGCUGGGCAUGCAUGCUGAUCGCAAGGCCACGAGACCGGGAUGUUUCUUUUGAAUGUCCGCCUUAUCAACUAAUCAAUGGUAUAGGCUAUGCGCCUACCAUGCUUGUUACGGGUAACGGAGGGUUCGAUCCCGAAGAGGGAGCCUGAGAAACAGUUACCACACCCGAGGAAGGCA